UACGGAGGGGACUAGCGUUGUUCGGAAUUACUGGGCGUAAAGCGCACGUAGGCGGAUUUGUAAGUCAGGGGUGAAAUCCCGGGGCUCAACCUCGGAACUGCCUUUGAUACUGCAAAUCUCGAGUCCGGUAGAGGUGAGUGGAAUUCCUAGUGUAGAGGUGAAAUUCGUAGAUAUUAGGAAGAACACCAGUUGCGAAAGCGACUAGCUGGGCCAUAACUGACGCUGAUGCUCGAAAGCGUGGGGAUCAAACAGG
rnacentral:rRNA from 1 species